UGAGUGGCGAACGGGUGAGUAACACGUGGGCAACCUGCCCAAAAGAGGGGGAUAACACUUGGAAACAGGUGCUAAUACCGCAUAACCAUAGUUACCGCAUGGUAACUAUGUAAAAGGUGGCUAUGCUACCGCUUUUGGAUGGGCCCGCGGCGCAUUAGCUAGUUGGUGGGGUAAAGGCUUACCAAGGCAAUGAUGCGUAGCCGAACUGAGAGGUUGAUCGGCCACAUUGGGACUGAGACACGGCCCAAACUCCUACGGGAGGCAGCAGUAGGGAAUCUUCCACAAUGGGCGAAAGCCUGAUGGAGCAACGCCGCGUGGGUGAAGAAGGUCUUCGGAUCGUAAAACCCUGUUGUUAGAGAAGAAAGUGCGUGAGAGUAACUGUUCACGUUUCGACGGUAUCUAACCAGAAAGCCACGGCUAACUACGUGCCAGCAGCCGCGGUAAUACGUAGGUGGCAAGCGUUAUCCGGAUUUAUUGGGCGUAAAGGGAACGCAGGCGGUCUUUUAAGUCUGAUGUGAAAGCCUUCGGCUUAACCGGAGUAGUGCAUUGGAAACUGGGAGACUUGAGUGCAGAAGAGGAGAGUGGAACUCCAUGUGUAGCGGUGAAAUGCGUAGAUAUAUGGAAGAACACCAGUGGCGAAAGCGGCUCUCUGGUCUGUAACUGACGCUGAGGUUCGAAAGCGUGGGUAGCAAACAGGAUUAGAUACCCUGGUAGUCCACGCCGUAAACGAUGAAUGCUAAGUGUUGGAGGGUUUCCGCCCUUCAGUGCUGCAGCUAACGCAAUAAGCAUUCCGCCUGGGGAGUACGACCGCAAGGUUGAAACUCAUAGGAAUUGACGGGGGCCCGCACAAGCGGUGGAGCAUGUGGUUUAAUUCGAGG
rnacentral:rRNA from 1 species